GCCGGGGUGCCCGAGCGGCAAGGGGACCGAGGCUGCGUCGACGGUCAGGCGCCAUACGUCGCCUCGCGGGUUCAAAUCCCGCCCCCGGCA
rnacentral:tRNA from 2 species